UGGCACGCGCAUGCUUGCAAAUUAUUACCGUAGGCUCCUUCCGCUCAGCAGCUUCGGGCUAAGAGUGUCCCUGAGAACCCAGCAUCCGGAACGAGGCCGGGAACACAGACAACCUUAGCUAGCAACCCAUUGUGUUUGGUGAUGGACAGAGGGACACGAGCGAAGGUCCGCAGGUCCCUAAGGGGCAGGGACCUCUGGGGUUCUGGAAGAACACAGCUAAAUGAAACGCAAGUCUCUGAGCAUGCGCGCUGGGCACUUCCAGCGGAGUCUUCAGAAUCAGGCCGGAAGCAGCGCCUAGGUGCCUCGUUAGCGCAGUAGGUAGCGCGUCAGUCUCAUAAUCUGAAGGUCGUGAGUUCGAUCCUCACACGGGGCACAAUACUUUUGGUGCCCUUUUACCAGGUGACGCGGUAGCAGAACAGAGUGUCUUGCAUUGGCCCGCAGUGGCUGCUACGUCCUAGGUGGCCCUGGACCUGCCCCUGUCCUGACCUUGCCCUUAUGAACUGGCGAUCGCUGGGGACCAGGACAGCCCCGGGUUGGGAGGGUGUACUGCUGAGGGUGUACAGAGAUGGGUACUGCGAGCCGUGCGGGGCUCGCACUGCGGAGCCGGGCCGUGGGGACCCGCCCAGGCGCGAGGACUCCAGGGGCCUCGGCCGCUCCUGCAGGCGGCUGCCGGGCCACCUAAAGGUCAUACCGCACGUUAGGUGGGGAUGGGUCGGGUAUAACCCACCCCGCCUUCCAAACUGCAACCCUGCCCUGGAUAACUGCGGCAGGGAGGACUCUUCUCGGAGUAACAGCCCUUCUUCCGUGGGUCGUGGGGCAGUGUGGGGAGUCUGUCCUUUUCCGGGGUGUCAUUUUUAGUUCAGUGGCCGAUCCAGGUACUCGGAAGAUAGGCACAGGUUGCUUUCCUGGCUCUCUCCGCUUCCCCCGAAGACCCCCUGGAACGCCACCAGCCCCAACUUUAGUGGUUGGCAGCAGGUCCUUCCUUAGGGAGACUCUGCCUCCCCUUCAGUCAAGAGGUUUGGGGCCUGGGAUACGGGAAUUAGGGUAAGUGGAAACUGAGCCUCAGGUCCCCUUGUGUGACUCAAGUAGGGCUCUGGGCCAUUGGGUCUGGGGUCUUCCUCUUACACGCACCAAGCUACACUUAGAAGCCUGCCCGUCUGCUUCGUUCUUAGAGACACAUAGUCAACAGUCAAAGAGCCCUGACUAUUACUGGCUUGCUGCACCUUGCUGACUUGGGGGAUUGAAAAGCUCAUUGGGUCCCUGCUACCACAGACUACAACUAUAGGUGGUGGCAUUUCUUAUUGUCACUGGUGGCCAGCAGAGCCACCACGGAGUUUCUCAGCUUUGCGGAUGAUUUCGCCAUUGGAUGCCUUACUGAACGAAAGCCGUCUUUUGGGCUCAGAGCCUGGAGUUGGGUGGUGUGUGGGAUCAUGUCGUUGAAGAUCGUUGUCCACACCGGGGAUUUCUAAGAUUUUUCCCACUCAUGAUCCCUUCCCUUUUGGCUUGAGAAAUUUUUGCAUGACCCUGGGUUUAUAAGUAUAUAAAUAAAUAAAUAUGAAUAAAAUUUA